rnacentral:rRNA from 1 species
UACGUAGGUGGCAAGCGUUGUCCGGAUUUAUUGGGUUUAAAGGGUGCGUAGGCGGACUGGUAAGUCAGUGGUGAAAUCUCUUUGCUUAACAAAGAAACUGCCAUUGAUACUGCUAGUCUAGAGUAUAGAUGACGUUGGCGGAAUAUGACAUGUAGUGGUGAAAUACUUAGAUAUGUCAUAGAACACCGAUUGCGAAGGCAGCUAACGAAACUAUAACUGACGCUGAGGCACGAAAGUGCGGGGAUCAAACAGG